UAUAGUGCAGUAAUUUUGUUGAUUCUUGAUUUAUUGUGAGUUUUUGUCUAUAUGGGUUGCUUCAGCUGCUUCUCAGGAAGCUCACAUAUGGUGGUGCUGUUUCUUUUCAGGUUUGCUAUGGUCUUCUUCUGCAGUACUUUGCUACAUUAACGAAUCAUAAACCAUUGAAUUUUCAUUUAUUGAACUUGCUUGUUAAGCCACUGAUGGAGAUGAGUGCAGAGAUUCCAUAUUUUUCAGCGAUUUGUGCUCGUGAACAAAUUUUAAGGACUCGUACAAAAUUCUCUGAGGAUAUCAAGGACCCAGGUGAUUGCGGAAUCCAACUAUUCAAACAAUUGAAGAAUAAUAUGAGGAAGAAAAUAGCAUGACACUAACAAAGAAUGAGGCAAUUGAAAAAUGGAAUGACACUAUUCAAACUAUUAGAUAUCUUUUUUUUUCUCUCUUGUAGUUUCCAAUUUCUUUUUACUGUAACAAUUGUGAACAACCAACGAGACAUGUUAGUUGAUUAAGGUGUUUAUAUAAAUGACAAUUAUUUAUUAUCUA